GUCAGUCUGCUACAGCAGCACCACAUCCUCCAUCAUUGUGGGACAGUGGAGGAACGACAACAUCCUGGUGUUCAGAGUGGAAUAGUGUGUACAUUUGCUGCUGGGUCGAGACAACGAUGUUGAGGAUGUGGGGGACAAGCAUGAAGCAGAAGGAGAGCACCAGCAUUGAUAUCGAGUUGGCCAAGCAACAGCACAAGUCCGGCCUGCAGGAGCCCCAAUACAGAACCAUCCUUUCCCUCCCCUGAUCCCUAGCUCCUCCCACUUGACCUCUGGCCACAAAGGGUCAGCAUCGUUACACAAGUCUGUUCUGCAAUAAAUCCUCAGCACGUCAAGUUUUCUCGCGCUGUUAUGAACAACCAAAAUGUCCGCGUCGAGAUUUCCCCAAGCAAGCCCGAGUAGUUUUGUUUAGCUCUAGUGCCCGAGUGGGAUGAGUGUUACAGAAGCGAGACGCUAUAGCAGUACAUAUGGUAGUGCAAACAGUUAACGCAAACAGUUAGUUCUCGCUGUGGACAUCAUGAAGAAUCUCACAAAGAAUUAAACGUUGAAUAAUUUGUUUCAUUCUUUAUAAGACACAGGGUUUGCACAGGGCUUGAAAAGUGCUUGAAAACGAGUCCUAGGCUUGAAAAGCCCUUGAACAAAGGUUGGCCUUAAAACAGUGCUUGAAAAGUGCUUAGUUCAUGUAAAAAAGCCUUGAAAAUGUUUAUUUCUGCUCAAAAUUACUUUUAUCAUGGCUUUAAUUACAAACUUAAAUCGUUCUUAUGGGAAAUAUUACGAAAAUGUAUCAUAGGU